AGAGUUUGAUCCUGGCUCAGGAUGAACGCUGGCGGCGUGCUUAACACAUGCAAGUCGAGCGAAGCGGCUGAAUUGAUUCUUCGGAUGAUUUUCAGUUGACUGAGCGGCGGACGGGUGAGUAACGCGUGGGUGACCUGCCCCAUACCGGGGGAUAACAGCUGGAAACGGCUGCUAAUACCGCAUAAGCGCACAGAGCUGCAUGGCUCCGUGUGAAAAACUCUGGUGGUAUGGGAUGGGCCCGCGUCUGAUUAGGCAGUUGGCGGGGUAACGGCCCACCAAACCGACGAUCAGUAGCCGGCCUGAGAGGGCGACCGGCCACAUUGGGACUGAGACACGGCCCAAACUCCUACGGGAGGCAGCAGUGGGGAAUAUUGCACAAUGGGGGAAACCCUGAUGCAGCGACGCCGCGUGAGCGAAGAAGUAUUUCGGUAUGUAAAGCUCUAUCAGCAGGGAAGAUAAUGACGGUACCUGACUAAGAAGCCCCGGCUAACUACGUGCCAGCAGCCGCGGU
rnacentral:rRNA from 1 species